CUCAAGGUCGGCAAAGGAUCGUUGGAGUGCGCGGUAUGUCUAAGCGAAUUCGAUGACGACGAAGAACUGCGCCUCCUCCCCCGCUGCAGCCACGUCUUUCAUACGGACUGCAUCGGCGCCUGGCUCGCCUCCCACGUCACCUGUCCUGUCUGCCGCGCUAACCUCGCCGAACCUACGGCCGUCGACGGCCUCGAACCGACGCCUGCCACCGCCGAGGCCUCGAGCACCCAACCCGAUACAGCCCCGCCGCCGGACCAUGUCGCAAUCCUCGUGGACCGAAUGGCC
rnacentral:lncRNA from 1 species